UACGUAGGGGGCAAGCGUUAUCCGGAUUUACUGGGUGUAAAGGGAGCGUAGACGGCAGCGCAAGUCUGGAGUGAAAUCCCAUGGCUUAACCAUGGAACUGCUUUGGAAACUGUGCAGCUGGAGUGCAGGAGAGGUAAGCGGAAUUCCUAGUGUAGCGGUGAAAUGCGUAGAUAUCAGGAGGAACAUCGGUGGCGAAAGCGCUUUACUGGACCAUUAUUGACGCUGAGGAACGAAAGCCAGGGGAGCAAAUGGG
rnacentral:rRNA from 1 species